AUUGUAUUUAAGUAUAUGUUUGAUGAGGAAAAGUGAAGCGUUACUAGAUCAGUAAUCCUAGAUCACUACUGAAAUAGAUACUAGUGAGUUGUGGGAACAGGAACUGUUCUGAGGGACUGAUACCUCUUACUGUAAUGGCUAACUGCGAAGCUGUCAUUGUGGAAAGUCUUGGAGUCAGUUUUCCUGUGUUCCCCCCACCCCAGUGUUUCCUUUGGCGGGGAAGCCCGCAGUUCUGAAAACUGUGGAGUUUGACAUAGCAGUUCUCAAGAUAAGCAUUAAAGUUGAGUUGAAAGCUGCUGCUUCUUCCAUUUUGCUCGUAUUUUAUGCUUCCAUUUUUCAGGUGGUUUUGCAGUCUUCAGCUCCAGUGCUUUGUGAGCUAUCUGCUUAUGUCAGAUCAAAAAUGAUACAGAAUGUAAAUGCUUUUGCAACUGGAGCUGAUCCUGAGAGAGGCUAGAAGUUGAUGCAACUCACAGAGCACAGAAGCUGAGCACCAUGAAUAAUGCAGCUGAUAGCAGGAAAAAACUGGAGGUCACUUCAGCAGUGUUUGGAGUGAACCGGUGAUGUUGUGAAUAAUAGAUUGGAUUGUGGGCCAUAACUUACUCCCUGUCUCCAGAGAAGAAUGAAUAAACUCCAGAGAUCAGAAAGAAGGAAAAUGUCAAAAGCCAGGUACUUCUGCAACACCUGGAAGCAUGCAGUCCUCCUGGCUUGCUGCUGAAUCUCUGGGUGGGGAGAAGAUCUUCCGUUGGCCAGCUGUGCCUCUUCUGCUUCUCUCCCUGGCUCCUCUCCAGAUAAAAUUUCCUGCAAGAGGAGGGAGAUUUACUCUGAAACCGACCAAGGAUGGGAGAAAAAUAUACAUCCUUGAGGACGAUUAUUUAAAAAUGCGUGGAGAGACAUAUUUGUGUUGGAAUCAAUCUACGCUUCGGGCCAUGGCAUCCAAGCUACAGCUUGUGGAGUCUUGCAGCUGUCCUGCAAGUCAUCUUCCCAGGAAAAUAAUAAGGUGUUAUUGUUGGCACAGCUCUUCCCACAUGCCGUCCUGGCAUACCUGGCGAGGGUGGGUCAGUAUAACUGUGUCCACUUCUAAGAGGGCAGAGGCCUAGGAGCAGCUUGCACACGUGCCAGUUCCCAAUCCCAUGCCUCCGGCACAAAUAAUGAAGAAGCAUGAGCAAGACAUUGGUGCAGUUACUCUCAGUUAAAAAGACUAAAGGAGAAGAAAAGAGAGAAGAACCUGUAAGAAGUGCUGGUGCCAUAGCAGAAAGCAAUUUUGGAGAGGGUUCACAUGCCAAUAUGAUGGGUGCAACCUAAGAACCUGAAUCAAAUAGAGCCCGGGCCACUGCGAAGACAGUCAGAAGUCACAGCAAAAGCUGUACCUGUUUGGCCUGGGAGGGAGUCUUUUAUUUCUGAUUUUUCACUGGUUUUAUUCCCUAGCUUACAGCUGUGUUAUUCCUGCUUUAUGCUCCUGGAGGACAAGAACAAGUACUCUUCUGCUGUAACAGCCUGCAGUGAUAACUGGCAAGCCAAGUAACAGCUAGCUUGUAAUUUUACUGGUUAUGCCUUGUAAAACUCUAUUAGUGAAUAUAGUUAACAUAAGGCUAUUCUU